AUGGUGCUGUGGAUAGUCUCAUUUCAUUGGCACCUUCUACACCAAAGUAGAUGGAGCAGAGAAAUUAGAUGCACUCCCUCUAAACAAAGGACUUCUCAAAGGCAUGCCUGGAUGAUAGCAUAUUCUCACUCUAACUCAAGCUGAAGGACAAGUUUUAGUCAGCAUUUCAUGCACUUCCAAGCAUCAGAGACAUCCAGCUUCUCUGCUGCCCUGGAACCUCCCGCACUGUGGCCUCCUUAGCAAUUAGUGCCUCAGGACGACCAUCCUCUGAGAGCACCAGCAGCACCAUCACUGAGGCUAACACAACUACCUCAGCAGCUCCAGUCUGCUUACUCUGUUCCACUGUUUACUCUGAUGCUCACUUUCAAAUGGCAUUUCAUGUAGAAUUACUGAAAAAUGUGCUGGCAGAUGCUGCAGCUCAGAAUAACACGAAGCAGUCAGGUGAUUUGCAUAUGAAGAAUUUCUGCUGGUGAAGAU